rnacentral:rRNA from 1 species
GUAGGGUGCAAGCGUUAAUCGGAAUUACUGGGCGUAAAGCGUGCGCAGGCGGUUUUGUAAGUCUGACGUGAAAUCCCCGGGCUCAACCUGGGAAUUGCGUUGGAGACUGCAAGGCUGGAGUCUGGCAGAGGGGGUAGGAUUCCACGUGUAGCAGUGAAAUGCGUAGAGAUGUGGAGGAACACCGAUGGCGAAGGCAGCCCCCUGGGUCAAGACUGACGCUCAUGCACGAAAGCGUGGGGGGAGCAAACAGGAUUAGAUACCCUGGUAGUCCACGCCCUAAACGAUGUCUACUAGUUGUCGGGUCUUAAUUGACUUGGUAACGCAGCUAACGCGUGAAGUAGACCGCCUGGGAGUACGGUCGCAAGAUUA